AGUGGUAGCUCAGUGGUUAGGACAUUUGACUUCUGAUCGGAAGGUCGGAAGUUCAAAUCUUAGUACCGCCA